AGUGAACGCUGGCGGUAGGCCUAACACAUGCAAGUCGAACGGCAGCACAGUAAGAGCUUGCUCUUACGGGUGGCGAGUGGCGGACGGGUGAGGAAUACAUCGGAAUCUACUUUUUCGUGGGGGAUAACGUAGGGAAGCUUACGCUAAUACCGCAUACGACCUACGGGUGAAAGCAGGGGAUCUUCGGACCUUGCGCGAUUGAAUGAGCCGAUGUCGGAUUAGCUAGUUGGCGGGGUAAAGGCCCACCAAGGCGGCGAUCCGUAGCUGGUCUGAGAGGAUGAUCAGCCACACUGGAACUGAGACACGGUCCGCACUCCUACGGGAGGCAGCAGUGGGGAAUAUUGGACAAUGGGCGCAAGCCUGAUCCAGCCAUACCGCGUGGGUGAAGAAGGCCUUCGGGUUGUAAAGCCCUUUUGUUGGGAAAGAAAAUCAGCAGGUUAAUACCCCGCUGUUCUGACGGUACCCAAAGAAUAAGCACCGGCUAACUUCGUG
rnacentral:rRNA from 1 species